GUUGGAGCAAGUCCAACAGACCUCACCGAUAAAUCGCUGAGGAAAGUCCACCCACCGAGUAAAAAGUCACUCGUGUUAUGCGAGAUGGAGAAAUCCAUGGCAAUGGGCCAGAAAAACACGUCCACAUUUCGGGAUGAAAAUGGCGAAGCUUUGCUGCGAAGCAAGUGAGUUUUUGUUGAAUAAAUUCAACAAACCUUCAACUAGCGUUGAAGUAACCCGUAGACUAUGUUUUGUGGGAUCGGUGAAAUCCGAAUCCUGGCUGGUGCAAGUGCUGUUUAGCAUGCUAAGUAGAAUGUUAAGGCAGUCUGCCCAUGUGAAGGCAUAGCAAACUUUUAGUUUGCAGGUACCUCGUGGAGACUGACAAAAGGUGGCUUAUCGCUUCUCUACC
rnacentral:RNase_P_RNA from 1 species